rnacentral:rRNA from 1 species
UACGAAGGGGGCUAGCGUUGUUCGGAUUUACUGGGCGUAAAGCGCACGUAGGCGGAUCUUUAAGUCAGAGGUGAAAUCCCAAGGCUCAACCUUGGAACUGCCUUUGAUACUGGGGAUCUUGAGUCCGGGAGAGGUGAGUGGAACUGCGAGUGUAGAGGUGAAAUUCGUAGAUAUUCGCAAGAACACCAGUGGCGAAGGCGGCUCACUGGCCCGGUACUGACGCUGAGGUGCGAAAGCGGUGGGGAGCAAACAGG